AGGACGAUCGGCUAGGACCUUCCUUCUACCCUCUCGCAUCCUGCUUCAUCCCCAAGUCUUCUUAGAUGAUCUGGAGUCUUAUUUUCAUUUGCAUGUGGGCCUAACAUGUUGAUAGCUUCAGGAUUAGAUUGAUCUUUGGGCAAUACUCUAAGGGUAAAGCUACAACUGAUCCGUGCGCUUGCGAUUCACCAACUUGGCGCUCUAACUGCUGCCGACAGAUGGUGAGGUGAUGAUUG
rnacentral:lncRNA from 1 species